GGGUUGUGAGGUUAAGCGACUAAGCGUACACGGUGGAUGCCCUGGCAGUCAGAGGCGAUGAAGGACGUGCUAAUCUGCGAUAAGCGUCGGUAAGGUGAUAUGAACCGUUAUAACCGGCGAUUUCCGAAUGGGGAAACCCAGUGUGAUUCGUCACACUAUCAUUAACUGAAUCCAUAGGUUAAUGAGGCGAACCGGGGGAACUGAAACAUCUAAGUACCCCGAGGAAAAGAAAUCAACCGAGAUUCCCCCAGUAGCGGCGAGCGAACGGGGAGCAGCCCAGAGCCUGAAUCAGUGUGUGUGUUAGUGGAAGCGUCUGGAAAGGCGCGCGAUACAGGGUGACAGCCCCGUACACAAAAAUGCACAUACUGUGAGCUCGAUGAGUAGGGCGGGACACGUGGUAUCCUGUCUGAAUAUGGGGGGACCAUCCUCCAAGGCUAAAUACUCCUGACUGACCGAUAGUGAACCAGUACCGUGAGGGAAAGGCGAAAAGAACCCCGGCGAGGGGAGUGAAAAAGAACCUGAAACCGUGUACGUACAAGCAGUGGGAGCACAGAGCAAUCUGUGUGACUGCGUACCUUUUGUAUAAUGGGUCAGCGACUUAUAUUCUGUAGCAAGGUUAACCGAAUAGGGGAGCCGAAGGGAAACCGAGUCUUAACUGGGCGUUAAGUUGCAGGGUAUAGACCCGAAACCCGGUGAUCUAGCCAUGGGCAGGUUGAAGGUUGGGUAACACUAACUGGAGGACCGAACCGACUAAUGUUGAAAAAUUAGCGGAUGACUUGUGGCUGGGGGUGAAAGGCCAAUCAAACCGGGAGAUAGCUGGUUCUCCCCGAAAGCUAUUUAGGUAGCGCCUCGUGAAUUCAUCUCCGGGGGUAGAGCACUGUUUCGGCAAGGGGGUCAUCCCGACUUACCAACCCGAUGCAAACUGCGAAUACCGGAGAAUGUUAUCACGGGAGACACACGGCGGGUGCUAACGUCCGUCGUGAAGAGGGAAACAACCCAGACCGCCAGCUAAGGUCCCAAAGUCAUGGUUAAGUGGGAAACGAUGUGGGAAGGCCCAGACAGCCAGGAUGUUGGCUUAGAAGCAGCCAUCAUUUAAAGAAAGCGUAAUAGCUCACUGGUCGAGUCGGCCUGCGCGGAAGAUGUAACGGGGCUAAACCAUGCACCGAAGCUGCGGCAGCGACGCUUAUGCGUUGUUGGGUAGGGGAGCGUUCUGUAAGCCUGCGAAGGUGUGCUGUGAGGCAUGCUGGAGGUAUCAGAAGUGCGAAUGCUGACAUAAGUAACGAUAAAGCGGGUGAAAAGCCCGCUCGCCGGAAGACCAAGGGUUCCUGUCCAACGUUAAUCGGGGCAGGGUGAGUCGACCCCUAAGGCGAGGCCGAAAGGCGUAGUCGAUGGGAAACAGGUUAAUAUUCCUGUACUUGGUGUUACUGCGAAGGGGGGACGGAGAAGGCUAUGUUGGCCGGGCGACGGUUGUCCCGGUUUAAGCGUGUAGGCUGGUUUUCCAGGCAAAUCCGGAAAAUCAAGGCUGAGGCGUGAUGACGAGGCACUACGGUGCUGAAGCAACAAAUGCCCUGCUUCCAGGAAAAGCCUCUAAGCAUCAGGUAACAUCAAAUCGUACCCCAAACCGACACAGGUGGUCAGGUAGAGAAUACCAAGGCGCUUGAGAGAACUCGGGUGAAGGAACUAGGCAAAAUGGUGCCGUAACUUCGGGAGAAGGCACGCUGAUAUGUAGGUGAAGUCCCUCGCGGAUGGAGCUGAAAUCAGUCGAAGAUACCAGCUGGCUGCAACUGUUUAUUAAAAACACAGCACUGUGCAAACACGAAAGUGGACGUAUACGGUGUGACGCCUGCCCGGUGCCGGAAGGUUAAUUGAUGGGGUCAGCGCAAGCGAAGCUCUUGAUCGAAGCCCCGGUAAACGGCGGCCGUAACUAUAACGGUCCUAAGGUAGCGAAAUUCCUUGUCGGGUAAGUUCCGACCUGCACGAAUGGCGUAAUGAUGGCCAGGCUGUCUCCACCCGAGACUCAGUGAAAUUGAACUCGCUGUGAAGAUGCAGUGUACCCGCGGCAAGACGGAAAGACCCCGUGAACCUUUACUAUAGCUUGACACUGAACAUUGAGCCUUGAUGUGUAGGAUAGGUGGGAGGCUUUGAAGUGUGGACGCCAGUCUGCAUGGAGCCGACCUUGAAAUACCACCCUUUAAUGUUUGAUGUUCUAACGUUGACCCGUAAUCCGGGUUGCGGACAGUGUCUGGUGGGUAGUUUGACUGGGGCGGUCUCCUCCUAAAGAGUAACGGAGGAGCACGAAGGUUGGCUAAUCCUGGUCGGACAUCAGGAGGUUAGUGCAAUGGCAUAAGCCAGCUUGACUGCGAGCGUGACGGCGCGAGCAGGUGCGAAAGCAGGUCAUAGUGAUCCGGUGGUUCUGAAUGGAAGGGCCAUCGCUCAACGGAUAAAAGGUACUCCGGGGAUAACAGGCUGAUACCGCCCAAGAGUUCAUAUCGACGGCGGUGUUUGGCACCUCGAUGUCGGCUCAUCACAUCCUGGGGCUGAAGUAGGUCCCAAGGGUAUGGCUGUUCGCCAUUUAAAGUGGUACGCGAGCUGGGUUUAGAACGUCGUGAGACAGUUCGGUCCCUAUCUGCCGUGGGCGCUGGAGAACUGAGGGGGGCUGCUCCUAGUACGAGAGGACCGGAGUGGACGCAUCACUGGUGUUCGGGUUGUCAUGCCAAUGGCACUGCCCGGUAGCUAAAUGCGGAAGAGAUAAGUGCUGAAAGCAUCUAAGCACGAAACUUGCCCCGAGAUGAGUUCUCCCUGACUCCUUGAGAGUCCUGAAGGAACGUUGAAGACGACGACGUUGAUAGGCCGGGUGUGUAAGCGCAGCGAUGCGUUGAGCUAACCGGUACUAAUGAACCGUGAGGCUUAACCUUACAACGCCGAAGCUGUU
rnacentral:rRNA from 1 species